UAACAUCAAUCAACUAAUCCAAAUAUCCAACUUUCUCAAUCGAUCAGUGUAUCAAUCAAACUAAUAAUCUCAUUCAACCAAAAUAACUCAAUUCAAUUCGUAAGACUCACGAAAUCACAAAAAUGUAUUCUACGCGUUAAAAUCGAUUUAUAACAACCCUAUAAUGUAAAAUAGAUUUAAGAAAAAUCCCUACCUUGAUUAACCGAAAUCGUGUAAUUGAAAC